GACCUCCCGCCCCCGCGGCCGGCGCCGCAGCUCGCCCUCCGCGCGGGCCGCCGCGCGCUCGCUACCAAUCUUGCGAUCGAUCAGAAGUCAUCUCUGCCGAUAAAGGCGGCGAUCUGGAGCGAUGGCAAGCAAUUUGUGGAAGGUCGGGGCUGGGCUUUUAUUCGCGCGACCUCUGCUUUCGAGCGGCAGCACGGUUCCUCACAACCAUUAGAAGCAGGCCGAUUCCAGGCAGCCUUACUCAAGUGAGAAAUUUACCUUACUUCUGAAGGCAUUUUCAAAAGAUACGGAAUAGGAUACAUUUGGAAAUGACAGCAAGGGAGAUAUAUAAAACUGCAUCUCUGUACGGAUGUACUAAAUCUUACAGAACUGAGCAACAUAUUUGUAAAGCAAUGCAAAGAGACUUAAAAUUGAAGGAAUUACAUUAUGUAAUAGAAAAUAUUUUUUGCUAAACUAACUGUGCUUUUCAAACAACAAACUACCACUAUUUUCCUACUGAAAAUGGUUUGUUUUUAUCAAAAUAAUCUACUUCUCUAAAUUAAGUUGCUUUUACAGUAAGCAUUCAUUGUUCAAGUUUUGUUGUAUGGCAUAUGCAAAAAUACUAGAUUUCUUGAAUUUGUUGAAAAUUUGGUAUUUGAGAAAGGGUAAGAAAUCUUGUGAAAAGAAUAGCCUCUCUCCCAAGCAAAGAAUUCCCAAAUCUGAAAUUGUCAAUUUUUCACAAUUGCUCUCUCAAUCUCAUUUUUUGCCAAUUAUCAGAUAACUAUUUCUGAUCUAAAUAACUAUCAUGUUUAAAAUAAAACAUUUUUCAAAGUUUUCUGCCUUAGCAAUAUACCACCAUUUUCAGUGUGUGAGUCAACUCUUUUUCCCCACAGUGGACAUAUUCUUUAAACCACUAUAAACUGAAAGCAGAUUUUUGGUGUUUUGCUUGUCUGUUUUUAAGUACGGUUUUCCCUAAUCGAUUGACUUGAUUUUUUGAAACUACUGGACUUUUAUAUCUCAUUUUAUGAGAAAUAUUUACCAUUUACUGGUGUGUAGAAUGUUAGAUGUUUACAUGUUUUGACCUAAAUACUUGUAUUAAGGCUUCUAGAGUAGUAGAAGGGGCUUAGUGUUUUUGUUUAUUUCUUAGGCAAAAUAUCCUUUCACAUAGAGGACACAUUCACUUUUUCUCGUAUUUUCAAAUAAAACUUUUUGCAAUAAAAAUUCUAAUAAACACUUCUAAUAAAAAUAUUUGGAAAAAAAUCUUCUGUCCUAAGAAAUACAAGCAACAUUGCUUGGAAAAUCUUCUGUGCACAACGGCAAAUAGUUUAGAGUGAAGUGGCCAUUAGGAAAAAACUUUCCAAGUCCUCUUCAGAUUUCGCACAAGGAAGUCAUUUGAACUUCCUAAACGGGAGGCUGGGAUCCCCUUCUGGGGUGGGAGAGGAGAAAGCGACAGAGCCCAGGAAAAAAAAGCUGAAGGACAUUCACCUGCGUGCAUGUUCAUUCGGUUAACCUUUACGUGACAAAAACAGAAAGAGUCCAAUCUGUGGCAAAAUGCUUCAGCAAAAAGCAACGGUUACAUUAGCAGAGGACCAUAUACCACUACCUACCACCAGCUCCUUCUGACUCCUAAUCAUUUGGAUGGUGAAAGAGGGAGAAAAGUUACUGCUUGAGCUAGCAUACAAUUGGCUUUGUAAAAACAGGGACCAAAAACUUCAGUGUUCUGACAACAGCAUAUCUAAAACAUUUGAAUUUUACUCCUGCAUAUAAUCAUAGCAGGCAAAAUACUAUCUGGAACAAACAUUUUCGUGAGGUGAAAUGCACAUUAAAAUCACUGGGAAGAGUAGCGCUUCAACAGCCACAUGCGAAUGGCAGAAUCUAGGCAUUACUUGUAGCAAGACACAGGAAGAAAUUACAUUUUACAAACACAGGAUGCAGCAGCACUGAGCCCAGCUCCUAGGAUGCUCCAUGAUCUGAGGUUGCCUUUCAAACUAUUUAAAACAGAGGCACGAACUGUCCGAAGGGUUAGGGUGCAGCUGCUGUGCCAGGAAGCUUACAAGAAAAAGUAAAAAGUAAAAUUAAAGAAUAUAUUUCUGGCAAAGAAAUAUAAUGGUUAUCCUUUGUUUCUUAGGCUUCAAGUUAACUGUACUUUAGUAUGUAUCCUUUAAAAACAGGUUUCUAUUCUCUUAACGAAGCUUUGGUCCGUUUGGAGGGAGAAAGCUCACGGAUGUUAUGGAAUUCAUUCUAAAAAAAGAGUGUGCAGCUGGCGCUGAAAUAUCUACCAAAUCCUGUGCUGUACUUAACAUGUCUGUUAGCAGAUUAAAUCAUAAUACAAACACAAAGUGAUUAAAAACUAACAUUUGAAGCCUUUUCUUCUUUUCCCUUU